rnacentral:rRNA from 1 species
UAGGGAAUCUUCCACAAUGGACGCAAGUCUGAUGGAGCAACGCCGCGUGAGUGAAGAAGGUUUUCGGACCGUAAAGCUCUGUUGUUGGUGAAGAAGGAUAGAGGUAGUAACUGGCCUUUAUUUGACGGUAAUCAACCAGAAAGUCACGGCUAACUACGUGCCAGCAGCCACGGUAAUACGUAGGUGGCAAGCGUUGUCCGGAUUUAUUGGGCGUAAAGCGAGCGCAGGCGGAAGAAUAAGUCUGAUGUGAAAGCCCUCGGCUUAACCGAGGAAUUGCAUCGGAAACUGUUUUCUUGAGUGCAGAAGAGGAGAGUAGAACUCCAUGUGUGGCGGUGGAAUGCGUAGAUAUAUGGAAGAAUACCAGUGGCGAAGGCGGCUCUCUGGUCUGCAACUGACGCUGAGGCUCGAAAGCAUGGGUAGCGAACAGGAUUAGAUACCCUGGUAGUCCAUGCCGUAAACGAUGAGUGCUAAGUGUUGGGAGGCUUCCGCCUCUCAGUGCUGCAGCUAACGCAUUAAGCACUCCGCCUGGGGGAGUACGACCGCAAGGUUGAAAC